GAUGAACGCUGGCGGCGUGCCUAAUACAUGCAAGUCGAGCGAACGGACGAGAAGCUUGCUUCUCUGAUGUUAGCGGCGGACGGGUGAGUAACACGUGGAUAACCUACCUAUAAGACUGGGAUAACUUCGGGAAACCGGAGCUAAUACCGGAUAAUAUUUUGAACCGCAUGGUUCAAAAGUGAAAGACGGUCUUGCUGUCACUUAUAGAUGGAUCCGCGCCGCAUUAGCUAGUUGGUAAGGUAACGGCUUACCAAGGCGACGAUGCGUAGCCGACCUGAGAGGGUGAUCGGCCACACUGGAACUGAGACACGGUCCAGACUCCUACGGGAGGCAGCAGUAGGGAAUCUUCCGCAAUGGGCGAAAGCCUGACGGAGCAACGCCGCGUGAGUGAUGAAGGUCUUCGGAUCGUAAAACUCUGUUAUUAGGGAAGAACAAAUGUGUAAGUAACUAUGCACGUCUUGACGGUACCUAAUCAGAAAGCCACGGCUAACUACGUG
rnacentral:rRNA from 1 species